AGCGAACGCUGGCGGCAGGCUUAACACAUGCAAGUCGAGCGGGCAUAGCAAUAUGUCAGCGGUAGACGGGUGAGUAACGCGUGGGAACGUACCUUUUGGUUCGGAACAACUGAGGGAAACUUCAGCUAAUACCGGAUAAGCCCUUACGGGGAAAGAUUUAUCGCCGAAAGAUCGGCCCGCGUCUGAUUAGCUAGUUGGUGAGGUAAUGGCUCACCAAGGCGACGAUCAGUAGCUGGUCUGAGAGGAUGAUCAGCCACAUUGGGACUGAGACACGGCCCAAACUCCUACGGGAGGCAGCAGUGGGGAAUAUUGGACAAUGGGCGCAAGCCUGAUCCAGCCAUGCCGCGUGAGUGAUGAAGGCCCUAGGGUUGUAAAGCUCUUUUGUGCGGGAAGAUAAUGACGGUACCGCAAGAAUAAGCCCCGGCUAACUUCGUG
rnacentral:rRNA from 1 species